rnacentral:misc_RNA from 1 species
GAAUUAAAUGGCAUCUUCCUCGGACCAGGUCGGUUUUACGCACAGAUAGCAGUGGCCAGUUUCUUAGGUGGACUUAUUUCCGCAAUCGUUGGAAUAUUGUUGAUAACACUAAGAACUCGUCAUGUAUACCUCAUCUCCUGGGAUGACCAGUUUCUGGGACCUUUUUUCAUAAUCCUUGCUUUCAUGCUGGUCGGAUUUGCAGCAGCACUGGUCGUUCAAGCUAAGAGACGAGCCAAUGCAUAUAGACGCGAUCUUGUGUUCCGCCCCAUUGGAGACUAUGGUGUUGCAGUGGUUCACAAAAGCAGACUUACUUUUGAGCAAACUACAAAAGAACAACUCAAGUCUGGAACAGCUCCGAAGAAACCUACAAAAGCAAAACCCUACCAGCCUGUGUCCUACAACCAAGGGGGUAGGCCACGCAGAGGCCCCCCUCCAGGAAUGGAAGGCAGAGGGUAUGGAGAACCUCCACCAUAUGAUGGAAGACGAGGUCCUCCUCCAGAUGGCAGGAGACCUUAUCCAGAUCGUAGAGGACCCUCUGGUCGACCAAGGGGUCCUCCAGAUGACAGAAGGAGAUAUGGGCCACCUGGAGAAGAUGGCAGACCACCUCCAUAUGGAGUCAGAGAUCCUGGUGCCAGGAGGCCUCCUCCAGAUGAUAGAUACAGAGAAGGCCCCCCAAGAGAGAGAAGAGGACCUCCCCAUGAUGACAGGUACAGAGAUGGUCCACCACCUGGGGAUAGAAGUAGAGGUCCUCCACCUGAUGAUAGGUAUGCUGACAUAGACAGGAACAGAAGAAGACCUCCAGAUGAUAGGAAUAUGCCUAAAACAAGAUUGGAGGAUAUGCACGAAGGAGACGAGUCUUCAUUCUAAACAUUCCUAAUAUUUUAGGACACUUCAUCAUUUUGUAUUCUGUGCCAUUAUAAAACACAUUGUACUUCUUCAUAGUCUGGAUCAAGUCAAAUUCACCUCUAACAUACCAAUACUGUCAAGAUGUUAUAUAUAUGACAUUUUAGUGACUAUAUACAUUAUACAUGUAUAUGUAUCUGGAUUGGACCAAAACUACAUAUACUUGGAUCUGAAGUUUUAGAAGAAUGAAUGGACAUUUUUAUCAUUCUAUACUAUUCACAUUCCAAUCAAGUUAGAACCAUAACUUUUAAUAAGAUGUUUGCUAUAAACUUGUAUUUUUUAUGUAAUUUUAUACAAUGUUCAUAAUAGGAUUGUCUUAUCAAUAAAAUUUAUACCUUC